UUUCCGUAGGUGAACCUGCGGAAGGAUCAUUAUCGAGUUUUGACUGGGUUGUAGCUGGCCUUCCGAGGCAUGUGCACGCCCUGCUCAUCCACUCUACACCUGUGCACUUACUGUGGGUAUCAGAUCGUGAAGCGUGCUUUUUUACCGGAGCUUGUGAAGCGUGUCUGAGCCUGCGUUUAUCACAAACACUACAAAGUAUCAGAAUGUGUAUUACGAUGUAACGCAUCUAUAUACAACUUUCAGCAACGGAUCUCUUGGCUCUC
rnacentral:misc_RNA from 1 species